UACGUAGGGUGCAAGCGUUGUCCGGAAUUAUUGGGCGUAAAGGGCUCGUAGGCGGUUUGUCGCGUCGGGAGUGAAAACCAGGUGCUUAACACCUGGCUUGCUUUCGAUACGGGCAGACUAGAGGUAUGCAGGGGAGAACGGAAUUCCUGGUGUAGCGGUGAAAUGCGCAGAUAUCAGGAGGAACACCGGUGGCGAAGGCGGUUCUCUGGGCAUUACCUGACGCUGAGGAGCGAAAGUGUGGGGAGCGAACAGG
rnacentral:rRNA from 1 species